rnacentral:rRNA from 1 species
AACGAACGCUGGCGGCAGGCUUAACACAUGCAAGUCGAACGGGUGCAGCAAUGCAUCAGUGGCAGACGGGUGAGUAACACGUGGGAACCUUCCUAGAGGUACGGAACAACGCAGGGAAACUUGCGCUAAUACCGUAUACGCUCGAGAGAGGAAAGAUUUAUCGCCUUUAGACGGGCCCGCGUCGGAUUAGCUAGUUGGUGAGGUAACGGCUCACCAAGGCGACGAUCCGUAGCUGAUCUGAGAGGAUGAUCAGCCACACUGGGACUGAGACACGGCCCAGACUCCUACGGGAGGCAGCAGUGGGGAAUCUUGGACAAUGGGCGCAAGCCUGAUCCAGCCAUGCCGCGUGAGUGAAGAAGGCCUUCGGGUUGUAAAGCUCUUUUACCAGGGGCGAUAAUGACGGUACCUGGAGAAUAAGCCCCGGCAAACUUCGUGCCAGCCGCCGCGGUAA